rnacentral:piRNA from 1 species
UGUUAUGUAACCCAGCCCUCCAAG